GAGGUCUCUGAGGCUGGGGCUGCUGAGGCUCGGGCGGCUGCAGAGAGGGACCAACAGCAGCAUGCGGGAAUUUGUCCAGAGUGCUGAGGCCAUCCACCAGGAGAGGAAACGGAAAGCGCAGGAAUUCAGCAAGAAGGUAGAUGAAAUCCUUGGUGAUCAGCCAGAGGUAAAGGAGAAGGUUUUCACCAUCCUGAAGCAGUAUGCAGCAGAGAGGAAGGUAGAAUACUUGGCUUAUGCCCUCUGCAUGGUUCUCACCCAAGAGUCCCACCAGCUUCUUAUUGACAAUAUCAGAGGGAAACAACUGCAGCUGAGACCGCUCGCUGCUUGGGGCAGAGACCCAGCAGUGCUGGACUUCCCCCUUCCGAUGGG
rnacentral:lncRNA from 1 species